rnacentral:sRNA from 1 species
UUAUCAAACUAAAUGCAAUUAUUGGUUCUACAUUUUCAAAGUUUCCUUCUUACAACCAAACCUUGUCAACAACAACAAAAGAAAUACUUAUCUCUUAGAAAAAGGAGGCUUCAUGAAUGCUAAAUCAUCUGUAACUGGAAACACUUUUGGUUUUUAUAACCUUUUUCAUCAUGGUGGUGCCUCUCUGCAUUAAGCUUUGACAUGACUAGCACAUAAAAUGUUUGCAGAAAGUUUGAUGAGAAAGGCAGAAAGCAUAAUAUAAUAUAAUGGGAACAUUGGCCAGAAAGUAUAAUCACUAAUUCAGUAUUUACAGAGGGAGGAAAAUGCUGUAUUCCAAAUAGCAAAACUUAGUGUUUGUUUGGUGACCAAAGAAGAAAAACACGUUUGGGAGGGUAAAAGAAGAGACAAAAGGCUGUUAUAUGACUAGCUAUGGUUGAAGGGGAAAGAUCAAAUCAAAGGGUAUGUGCAGAAGGAGAAAUGAAGUUAAUCGCCUGAGACAUGAUAACCACAUUCAAUUAUGCCUGCUAUACAGUGGUGAGCUAUGAAAUAAUGUUUUCAAACUUUCAUGAACCAUCCAAGACUAUUUCAAAUAGAUCAGCCUCAGAGUCAUCAAAAUCUAAGACUUGACUAAUAUUCCCAUUGGGUUGAUUGGCUUUGUUUGCAGAUCUGUUAUGCCACUGAGAAUCAAUCCUUCCCAUGGAGAAGAGCUCCUUGCUGUCAUCAUAACCGAGGGUAGCACCAGGAGAAUUUACAACCAAAGUUGGACAGAGUGGAGUGCCGAAUUCUUCUGACUGACAGUGGAUGACAUGCACCAAUUCUGAGUCCAAUGUGAAGAAAACCUUCUUCUGCCUUGGAUCAUACCCGCAUCCAAUUACCCUUUCACUUCCUAUCCAUUGUGCCUUCUCAGACUCCAUCACAAGUUUCAUUCCUGUAACCAAGUUUCACACUCAGAUCUCUUCAAAAGAACAUAAGUAAAUCAGCAUAAGUUGAAAUUGUAACUAUAGAAAUUGGUGAUUCUUGUUGUGAAUAAUUCAUGUAUGAGUCUAAGUCACACCUCUAGUGACAAAACUAUACACC